rnacentral:rRNA from 1 species
UGGCGGACGGGUGAGUAACGCGUGGGUAACCUGCCCCAUACAGGGGGAUAACAGAUAGAAAUGUCUGCUAAUACCGCAUAAGACCACAGCGCCGCAUGGCGCAGGGGUAAAAACUCCGGUGGUAUGGGAUGGACCCGCGUCUGAUUAGCUAGUUGGUGGGGUAAAGGCCCACCAAGGCGACGAUCAGUAGCCGACCUGAGAGGGUGACCGGCCACAUUGGGACUGAGACACGGCCCAAACUCCUACGGAAGGCAGCAG